rnacentral:rRNA from 1 species
GUUAAGCGACUAAGCGUACACGGUGGAUGCCCUGGCAGUCAGAGGCGAUGAAGGACGUGCUAAUCUGCGAUAAGCGUCGGUAAGGUGAUAUGAACCGUUAUAACCGGCGAUUUCCGAAUGGGGAAACCCAGUGUGUUUCGACACACUAUCAUUAACUGAAUCCAUAGGUUAAUGAGGCGAACCGGGGGAACUGAAACAUCUAAGUACCCCGAGGAAAAGAAAUCAACCGAGAUUCCCCCAGUAGCGGCGAGCGAACGGGGAGCAGCCCAGAGCCUGAAUCAGUGUGUGUGUUAGUGGAAGCGUCUGGAAAGGCGCGCGAUACAGGGUGACAGCCCCGUACACAAAAAUGCACAUGCUGUGAGCUCGAUGAGUAGGGCGGGACACGUGGUAUCCUGUCUGAAUAUGGGGGGACCAUCCUCCAAGGCUAAAUACUCCUGACUGACCGAUAGUGAACCAGUACCGUGAGGGAAAGGCGAAAAGAACCCCGGCGAGGGGAGUGAAAAAGAACCUGAAACCGUGUACGUACAAGCAGUGGGAGCACGCUUAGGCGUGUGACUGCGUACCUUUUGUAUAAUGGGUCAGCGACUUAUAUUCUGU